rnacentral:rRNA from 1 species
AACUUCGCACUGCGCGAAAGCGCGACGAGGGGAACCCGAGUGCCUCUCCAUUUCGGGGAGGCUUUCACAAGCCUAAAAAGCUUGUGGAAUAAGGGCUGGGCAAGACGGGUGCCAGCCGCCGCGGUAAUACCCGCAGCUCGAGUGGUGGUCGCUUUUAUUGAGCCUAAAACGUUCGUAGUCGGCCUUGUAAAUCCCUGGGUAAAUUGGGCCGCUUAACGGUUCAAAUUCCGGGGAGACUGCAAGGCUAGGGACCGGGCGAGGUCAGAGGUACUUUCGGGGUAGGAGUGAAAUCCUGUAAUCCCGAAGGGACCACCUGUGGCGAAAGCGUCUGACUUGAACGGCUCCGACGAUGAGGAACGAAGGCUAGGGGAGCAAACCGGAUUAGAUACCCGGGUAGUCCUAGCUGUAAACUCUGCCCGCUUGGUGUGGCCUGUCCUUCGGGGGCAGGCCGUGCCGGAGCGAAGGUGUUAAGCGGGCUGCUUGGGGAGUACGGCCGCAAGGUUGAAACUUAAAGGAAUUGGCGGGGGAGCACCGCAACGGGAGGAUGCGUGCGGUUUAAUUGGAUUCAACGCCGGAAAACUCACCUGAGGAGACCAGCGUAUGUGGGUCAAGCCGAAGACUUUACCCGAGCAACAGCUGGAGAGGUGGUGCAUGGCCAUCGUCAGCUCGUACCGUAGGGCAUUCACUUAAGUGUGAUAACGAGCGAGACCCCCAUCCCUAGUUGCUAACCCCUCCGAAAGGAGGGGUGCACUCUAGGGAGACCGCUUCCGCUAAGGAAGAGGAAGGAGAGGUCGACGGUAGGUCAGUAUGCCCCGAAUCCUCAGGGCAACACGCGCGCUACAAAGGACAGGACAAUGGGUUCCAACCCCGAAAGGGGAAGGUAAUCCCGAAACCUGUUCGUAGUCCGGAUUGAGGGCUGUAACUCGCCCUCAUGAAGGUGGAUUCCGUAGUAAUCGCGGAUCAACAGUCC